rnacentral:piRNA from 1 species
UCCUAAGACAAAUAUCUGAGGCUCGAAUGG